rnacentral:rRNA from 1 species
AACAUAAGAGGUCCAGCCCGCCCAGUGACUCUGUUCAACGGCCGCGGUAUCCUGACCGUGCAAAGGUAGCGUAAUCACUUGUUCUUUAAAUAAGGACUAGUAUGAAUGGCACCACGAGGGUUUCACUGUCUCCCCCCCCUAAUCAAUGAAACUAAUCUCCCCGUGAAGAAGCGGGGAUAAUAGUAUAAGACGAGAAGACCCCAUGGAGCUUUAAACAAUAUAGCACAUGUUAACAAAAAACCCCCCCCAGUUCAACAUUACUGACUAUUAGUUUUCGGUUGGGGUGACCGCGGAAAAAAACACAACUUCCAUGAUGAACGGAGCUUACUCCUUAACUAAAAGCCACCGCUUUAAGUAUCAGCAACCUGACAUCCAUUGACCCAAUAUAAUUGACCAACGAACCAAGUUACCCUGGGGAUAACAGCGCAAUCCACUUCAAGAGCCCCUAUCGACAAGUGGGUUUACGACCUCGAUGUUGGAUCAGGGUGCCCAAGUGGUGCAGCCGCUACUAAUGGUUCGUUUGUUCAACGAUUAAAACCCU